GACGAACGCUGGCGGCGUGCUUAACACAUGCAAGUCGAACGGAAAGGCCCUGCUUGCACGGUACUCGAGUGGCGAACGGGUGAGUAACGCGUAGGUGAUCUGCCCUUCACUUCGGGUUAAGUCUGGGAAAGUGGGUCUAAUACCGGAAAGUAGCCAGUUUUAGUGUGAUGGUUGUAAAGUUUUUGCGGUGUAGGAUGAGCUGGCGGCGUAUAGGCUUGUUGGUGGGGUAAUGGCCUACCAAGGCGGCGACGGGUAGCCGGACUGAGAGGGUGGACGGACACCUUGGGACUGAGGGACGGCCGAGAUGCGGAAGGGAGGCAGAAGGGGGGAAGAUUGCACAAUGGGCGCAGGCUGGAUGCAGAGAGGCCGCGGGGGGGAUAACGCCCUUAGGGUUGUAGACUCCUUUCGCUAGGGACGAAGCUUGUUGUGACGGUACCUAGAGAAGAAGCACCGGCUAACUACGUG
rnacentral:rRNA from 1 species